rnacentral:rRNA from 1 species
UACCGUACCCGUACCGUAAACCGACACAGGUGGAUGAGGAGAGAAUCCUAAGGCCGGCGGAAGAAGCAUUGUCAAGGAACUCGGCAAAAUGGCCCCGUAACUUAGGGAUAAGGGGUGCCUGGGAAACCAGGCCGCAGAGAAUAGGCUCAAGCAACUGUUUAGCAAAAACACAGGUCUAUGCGAAACCGAAAGGUGAGGUAUAUGGGCUGACGCCUGCCCGGUGCUGGAAGGUUAAGAGGAGAGGUUAGCGCAAGCGAAGCUUUGAAUUUAAGCCCCAGUAAACGGCGGCCGUAACUAUAACGGUCCUAAGGUAGCGAAAUUCCUUGUCGGGUAAGUUCCGACCCGCACGAAAGGCGUAAUGAUUUGAGCGCUGUCUCGACAAUGCAUCCGGUGAAAUUGAAGUACCAGUGAAGAUGCUGGUUACCUGCGCCAGGACGGAAAGACCCCAUGGAGCUUUACUCCAGUCUGGUACUGGGACUCGGUAUUGCAUGUACAGGAUAGGUGGGAGGCUAGGAGAUGGUAACGCCAGUUGCCAUGGAGCCGCUGUUGGGAUACCACCCUUGCAGUAUUGGGUUUCUAACCAGCCGCCGUGACCCGGCGGUGGGACAAUGCCAGACGGGGAGUUUGACUGGGGCGGUCGCCUCCGAAAGGGUAUCGGAGGCGCCCAAAGGUUCCCUCAGAAUGGACGGAAACCAUUCGAAGAGUGCAAAGGCAGAAGGGAGCUUGACUGCGACACCGACGGGUGGAGCAGGUACGAAAGUAGGGCUUAGUGAUCCGGUGGUAUUAAGUGGGAAUGCCAUCGCUCAACGGAUAAAAGCUACCCUGGGGAUAACAGGCUUAUCACUCCCAAGAGUUCACAUCGACGGAGUGGUUUGGCACCUCGAUGUCGGCUCAUCGCAUCCUGGGGCUGUAGUAGGUCCCAAGGGUUGGGCUGUUCGCCCAUUAAAGCGGUACGCGAGCUGGGUUCAGAACGUCGUGAGACAGUUCGGUCCCUAUCCGGCGUGGGCGUAGGAUAUCUGAGAGGAGCUGUCCUUAGUACGAGAGGACCGGGAUGGACGGGCCGCUGGUGCAUCGGUUAGACUGCCAAGUCUACGGCCGAGUAGCCAAGCCCGGAAGGGAUAAACGCUGAAGGCAUCUAAGCGUGAAGCCCCCCUUAAGAUGAGAUAUCCCAUUCGAAAGAAGUAAACCCCCUUGAAGACGACGAGGUAGAUAGGGCAGAGGUGGAAGUG